rnacentral:rRNA from 1 species
AGUGAACGCUGGCGGUAGGCCUAACACAUGCAAGUCGAACGGCAGCACAGUAAGAGCUUGCUCUUACGGGUGGCGAGUGGCGGACGGGUGAGGAAUACAUCGGAAUCUACUUUUUCGUGGGGGAUAACGUAGGGAAACUUACGCUAAUACCGCAUACGACCUACGGGUGAAAGCAGGGGAUCUUCGGACCUUGCGCGAUUGAAUGAGCCGAUGUCAGAUUAGCUAGUUGGCGGGGUAAAGGCCCACCAAGGCGACGAUCCGUAGCUGGUCUGAGAGGAUAAUCAGCCACACUGGAACUGAGACACGGUCCAGACUCCUACGGGAGGCAGCAGUGGGGAAUAUUGGACAAAGGGCGCAAGCCUGAUCCAGCCAUACCGCGUGGGUGAAGAAGGCCUUCGGGUUGUAAAGCCCUUUUGUUGGGAAAGAAAAGCAGCAGGUUAAUACCCCGCUGUUCUGACGGUACCCAAAGAAUAAGCACCGGCUAACUUCGUG